AAUAAAAGAAACAUGGCUUUUUAUGACGAAAAAUAUUAUUUUUUUUACGCAAUUUAUGCCGUAAUUUCUGUGACGAACUAGCUAGACUCUCUGGAUUGUAGGACAACAAUUCCGACGUGGAGGUUUUUUAUUUAACAGUUAAAAAAAUAAGCAUCAAACGAAUCCAAAACGUAUUUCGGAGUUUGUUUGUCAUGCAUAAUUGGGAACUUAGAUUGGAAUAACAUUAUUGUAAUCGCUUCGACAUUCGAUUUCUUAAAUCGUUUACUUGGUGACACUCGUUACCGGAAGCAUUCGAUACAAUCGUUUAAAAAAGUGUGAUUUAAAAUCAAUAUAGAUAAAGUAAACCGGAUAAAAAAACAGAAAUCGGAAUAACACAUCUUUGUUAUUUAUUAUUAUAAGGGCCGGAUUAAAGUCGUCACUGAGUUUCAGUUUAACCUUAGAGUGGUUCGAAUGCUCGUAAGACCCCAGACAGCACAAUGAAGUUGAUGUUCGCUGUAAUUGUGGUUAUGUCAAUUCGCGUUUCUAUUACCUACAAAGUCCAUAUUGAUGUCAAAGGAAUCAUACAAGACGGCAAAAACAUCACUCUCGAGUGUAAAACCGACGCUCCUGAAAUUACUUUUUCCAUCAACAGAAAGUUCAACAACGGUCAAAAUGAAACAAUCGCUGAAUGUGAAUUCCGAAGUGACCAAUGUUAUUUCUUAAAUGGUUCAUUCUUGCCAAUGUAUAAUAUUUCUUCGACCAACUACGGAGGAAUAUUGACAAUAUAUAGUUUGUCAGUAAUGCAGCAAGGGGAGUACACGUGUUUUUAUACGUAUAACUCCUCAAUCAACGCUACUGUACAUAUAGAAGUAAUGAAGUACCAUGACGCGAGAAGCAAUGCUGGCCAUGUUAUUGCAAUAUGUGUUGGUGUUGGGGUUGUAAUCAUCAUAUGUGUGGCAGUAUGCAUUAGGAGAAAACAAACAUGCGAAAUGCUACAUACGCUAUGCACAAGGACAGACGCAGCAGCUUUUCCAAAUAACGAUGAAAAUCUAGCAUGGCUUAUGUCGAACAAAGAUGGCAAGAAAGAAGACAGAAAAUAAACAGAAAUUCGCUCGGAAGAUGAAUACAGGUGUAAACUCAUCCUGAAUUGAUUCGAGAAAAACUAACAAAGGCGUCGAAGCCAUGAGAAAGGAUUUAUUUUGCUUGACAUAAAUACUUGAAAUGUGUGUCUAUAUUGUAAUUGCCAUACAUUCACAAUGUGAUUAAAUAUGAGUGAUCGCGUAAUUAUACACUUAUUUUACACAAACAUAAUUAUUUUCGACAAAUGCCCAUGUUUUCCUGGGUACAGGCACUCUAGCAUAGGAACUUGCUAAGCUAAAGUAUCAUGUUCAAGAUUUAAAAUCAGUGUAACACGGCUAGUGUGUCAUGCUUUUAUGUUACUUUCGUUCAAUGCUCAUAUUUAUAUACAUUUACAAUUUAUGUUGUUGCUUUAACUCCUAUUUUGUUAUUUUCUUAAAUGUAGGCAUAUAGUAGUUAUCCUAGCAUCCGUCGGUCAGUCAGUCUUUUAAGGUGAUUGUGAUGAUUUUAUCACAGAAUUUAAUGAAUAGAUUGAAAUGAAACUAGGCGGAACGGCAUAAGAAUAACUUUUAGCAUAGUCAGGUUCAACUCAAUACGUUACUAAUGAUGUUAUUUAAAUGAGAUAAAUCUCAGACAAAUUACUCUUUUGUCAUAGAAACUAUCACAAGACUACUUUGUGACCGUCGUUUGUUGUCCUUUUCUACGACCAAAUUGCAUUUAUAAGUUAAUAGUUUUCGUACAUGAAAAGCGACAUUAUCAUGGCAAACACGAAUUAAUUAUUAUACCUCAGUUCAGAUUUUCUGUUUUGUUUUUCCUAAAAAUGCAAAAAUAGUGAGAAAGUAUUCUUAUCCGUAAUACAAUUGCCACCUUGCUGAUUUAAAACAUGUAAUAUAAGGCGCUAUUCAUACAAUUCAUUUUCUUUUUUAUCUAUUAUACUAUUAAAUGUGCGUAAAUGUCGAUGUAGCCCGGUCGGCAUAUAUUUAUUUCGUAUUGUGUUUUUAUGUUCUUAUUUGCUGAUGAGUUAUAAUUGAAAGCAAGUUUAUAUAUCAGAGAUAUUUUUUUCAACUGCAACAAUACGACCGGCUUAUACAAAUUAUAAAAUGCAAUACAAUAGGUAUGAUCUGUCGGGGGUAAAAUGUUAUUUGUUAUAAUGGAUUAAAUUACUAAUUGGAUGAAUACAAGUUUUAAGUAGUCAUCAGAGAAGUCUAUCAACUGUACAAUUAAUUAUUAAAGUAGCAUUGGCAUUGUUUCAGUAAUGUUAAAGGUUUUGUUUCCUAUGACAAAAACCUGUUAUAUAAAUAGAAUGAUACAAUUGUUAUUGUUAUAAUUUAGUUACAAAAGUAAAUAUUAAAUAAGGUAAUAUUUAAUAAUUAAUAUGUGUUGUCAAUACGCUUAUUAUUGUUGUUGUUUUUUGUCAAUAAACUGCCAAUAUACUAUGUAACUGUACUGUAUGACAUGUAGAUGAUUUUAAAAUGUUAUGGCAAUUGAUUUAUAUUCUGUUUUUCUAAAUAAUACUAUCAAAACAAGUAUGUUAUGUAAAUGUUUAUUAUUGCCUCCUUAUUAAUUUUAACAAUAACAAUAUGAAGCUGAAAUGAAUGUCACGCAUGUCAUGUAAAUGAUUUUAAUGUUAUGAAAAUUGUAUAAUUGUUUUUGCAGUUACACCGUCAAUAUGUUAUGUUAAUACAUACUAUCAUGCCACCAUAUUAACUUUAAUAAUGUAAAUAUAUUACAAGGUGCUAUUUUCGUUAAAAUAAAUCUCAAUAACACGAACUAUAUUUGGAACCUACUUAAUUAAAAACAUAAUAAUAUUGCAACGAUAACUAUUAGCCCAAACAAUGUGAAUAUUGCAAAUAUACUAUUUAUUUACGUUCUAUAUGCAAGGAUGGUUAAAACACAUUUCCUUUUUUCAAUUAUUGUAUUAAUAGUUGGAAUUAUCUUACUUAAUUGAAACAUACCAUCUUACUUAAUUCAUUUAUAAAAUAAAAGAUUAUAUAACAUCAUAUCAACAAAGAUUAUAUAAUAUUCUCCAUUAUACGACCAAAUUAUGAAACUAGCUAUGUAAAUACACAAUACCAUUACACUGGUGCUUAAGUGUAAAUAAUGAAUAAGAAGCUAUUUAUUUAAUUGAUUGUUUGAUCAUCUGGUGAAAAAUUGUCAACCACUUAACAAUUCUGUUGUGUAAUGUAUCACAUAUGAUAGACGUGAUCGAUGCUAAUAUACAUAAUGUAUUCUCGA